rnacentral:rRNA from 1 species
GACGAACGCUGGCGGCGUGCUUAACACAUGCAAGUCGAACGGAAAGGCCCUGCUUUUGUGGGGUGCUCGAGUGGCGAACGGGUGAGUAACACGUGAGUAACCUGCCCUUGACUUUGGGAUAACUUCAGGAAACUGGGGCUAAUACCGGAUAGGAGCUCCUGCUGCAUGGUGGGGGUUGGAAAGUUUCGGCGGUUGGGGAUGGACUCGCAGCUUAUCAGCUUGUUGGUGGGGUAGUGGCUUACCAAGGCUUUGACGGGUAGCCGGCCUGAGAGGGUGACCGGCCACAUUGGGACUGAGAUACGGCCCAGCCUCCUACGGGAGGCAGCAGUGGGGAAUAUUGCACAAUGGGCGGAAGCCUGAUGCAGCAACGCCGCGUGCGGGAUGACGGCCUUCGGGUUGUAAACCGCUUUCGCCUGUGACGAAGCGUGAGUGACGGUAAUGGGUAAAGAAGCACCGGCUAACUACGUG